ACCAAGCCCUUGAACUCCUUCUAAAGAAUCCUUUGAGGGCUCAGAGGACAGUGGUGCCAGCACUCCUAAGGUCCCACCAACCCUUGGGGCAAGAGGGACUUUUUAUCUAAAAGCUGUGUGCUCCAGCGUCCCUGGAGGUCUCUCCACAUCGCAGAGACCCACCAUAGAAGGCAUACCAAGCUGGUGGCACUGGAACCCCAAAGCUUGCCUGCCCCGGGCCUCACAUGCUGUCCAUGCUGAAAGCCUGGAUGAGCUUUCUUCAAAUUCUCUCAGGAAGUGCUGCUCCAUAUCUGUAUCCAGAUUCAUUCUUCUGCUGAGGACACCCAUGACACCGAGCAAAGUGCCCACUCUCGAUGGGACUUCAGCUUCAUUUGAUUAUGUGGACAAAGAUCUGGUCCCUGCCAAGGUCACACUCCAAGGUCCCAAGAUGGGCGGGAGUUUAGGAACAAAGGGAUUAUUCAGCCUAGUACUGAGCAGGAUGAGAUGAGAAAUCUCAAACAUGAUGCUCAGGGACAGCCUAGAAAUGUCCCCGGAAGCAGAGGACAUGGCAUCUGGAGGUUCUGGUACUAGGCAAGGGCAGGAGCAGAGUCAGCCAUUCUGGGCACCCCCAGCCCUCCUGGAAUCAAGCAGCUGCCUGCUGGCUGCCCUGCUGGGUGGCCAGCUCUGAGAGAGACCCAUGCGCAGACUGGUCCUUGAGGACAAGCCCCAUAAUUACCUCCGGCUGCCAGCACACAGCAUCCACGUCAGUGAUAAGCCGAGCCGGGUGGGAGGUGCACCAGCCCACAGACACCUCAGAGGUGGGCCGGUCCUGCUGACAUCAGCGGCUCUCUGCUUGAGACAGAAGCCCUGGCCAUGCUUUGACAGGAAGAAGAAGACCUUCCCUGGAGGAAACCUGAGCUAGCUGCCCGCUCGAUGCUAGGCAUCUCCGGAGCCCACGGGAAGUUGCUAUCUCCUGAGUGAGAUUUUUGCCUAGAGCUGUUCUGGACAGAUGACGUAUUAUUGAUGUGACUGUCCGGGCCCAGUGAUCCCACUUGACAGCCCAGGGAGGCCUGGGAAGUUCAUCACCUAUCCGCCUCAUUCUCUAUGUCCACUGUUGUAGCCACCUACAGAGGCAAGCCGGAGCUAGCAUGGUCUGUUCACUUUUGUGAGGGACCAGAAGUCACACACCAAACCUGAUUAAGGAGCAAGAGAUCGUGUGACCGCUGACAUUCAUCCCCACACCUGUGCCUCAGGCUACAGGAAUGACGUCAGACUCUGAUGGGCCAGAUUCCAGCAUAAUUGUCUGGAUGGUGAAUAUUGAACUCUCAGAUCCACAGUGUCCAGGAAGGAGACCACAAGCUACACACGGCUUCUGAGCAGUUAAAAGGUGCUGACUGCCAAAAUCCAUAAGGCAUUGCCAAGACUUCAAAGGAUCAUGAUAAUGAAGACGGCUCUGUAAUGUUUAUAUUGACCACAUGUUGAAGUAAAAAAUAUUUGGAUGCAUGAGAAUAAACAAAUGUAGUAUUAACUCUUAA